rnacentral:rRNA from 1 species
CGGUAGAGGAGAGCGAAUUCUCGGUGUAGCGGUGAUAUGCGUAGAUAUCGAGAAGAACACCAGUGGCGUAGGCGGCUCUCUAGCCCCGAUACUGACACUGAUACACGAAAGCGUGGGUAGCGAACGGGAUUAGAUACCCCGGUAGUCCACGCCGUAAUCGAUGGGUACUAGGUGCAGGUGGUAUCGAUCCCUUCUGUGCCGAAGCAUACGCGUUAAGUACCCCGCCUGGGGAGUACGGCCGCAAGGCUAAAACUCAAAGGAAUAGACGGGGGCCCGCACAAGCGGUGGAGCAUGUGGUUUAAUACGACGCAACGCGUAGAACCUUACCAGGGCUUGACAUGCUGGUGGUACUGGCUCCGAAAGGAGACAGGACCCUUCGGGGAGCCAACACAGAUGUUGCACGGCUGUCGUCAGCUCGUGUCGUGAGAUGUUGGGUUAAGUCCCGCAACGAGCGCAACCCUUGUCCUUAGUUGCCAGCAGGUAAUGCUGGGGACUCUAAGGAGACUGCCUGUGAUAAGCAGGAGGAAGGUGAGGAUGACGUCAAGUCAUUGUGGCUCUUACGCCCUGGGCUACACACGUGCUACAAUGGUCGAUACAAUGGGUAGCAAUGCCGCGAGGUGGAGCCAAUCCCCAAAAGUCGGCCUCAGUUCGGAUUGGAGUCUGCAACUCGACUCCAUGAAGUCGGAAUCGCUAGUAAUGGCGCAUCAGCUACGGCGCCGUGAAUACGUUCCCGGGCAUUGUACUCACCGCCCGUCACAUCACCUGAGUUGAUUGCACCUGAAGUC